AUUGAACGCUGGCGGAAUGCUUUACACAUGCAAGUCGAACGGCAGCAUAGGUGCUUGCACCUGAUGGCGAGUGGCGAACGGGUGAGUAAUACAUCGGAACGUGCCCAGUCGUGGGGGAUAACGUAGCGAAAGUUACGCUAAUACCGCAUACGAUCUAAGGAUGAAAGCGGGGGACCGUAAGGCCUCGCGCGAUUGGAGCGGCCGAUGUCAGAUUAGGUAGUUGGUGAGGUAAAGGCUCACCAAGCCGACGAUCUGUAGCUGGUCUGAGAGGACGACCAGCCACACUGGGACUGGUACACGGACCAGACUCCUACGGGAGGCAGCAGUGGGGAAUUUUGGACAAUGGACGCAAGUCUGAUCCAGCCAUGCCGCGUGCAGGACGAAGGCCUUCGGGUUGUAAACUGCUUUUGUACGGAACGAAAAAGCUCUUACUAAUACUAGGAGUCCAUCACGGUACCGUAAGAAUAAGCACCGGCUAACUACGUGCCAGCCGCCGCCGUAA
rnacentral:rRNA from 1 species